ACAGCUAGGACUACUGGGGUAUCUAAUCCCAUUCGCUCCCCUAGCUUUCGUCCCUGAGUGUCAGUUGCGGCCCAGUAGAGCGCUUUCGCCACCGAUGUUCUUCCCGAUCUCUACGCAUUUCACCGCUACACCGGGAAUUCCCUCUACCCCUACCGCACUCUAGCCUCUCAGUUUCCACUGCCUUUCCGGGGUUGAGCCCCGGUCUUUGACAGCAGACUUGAGUAGCCACCUGCGGACGCUUUACGCCCAAUAAUUCCGGAUAACGCUUGCCUCCUCCGUAUUACCGCGGCUGCUGGCACGGAGUUAGCCGAGGCUUAUUCCNUCAGGUMCCGUCAGUUUUCUUCCCUGAGAAAAGAGGUUUACAACCCAAGAGCCUUCCUCCCUNNCANGCGGUCUUGCUCCGUCAGGCUUUCGCCCAUUGCGGAAAAUUCCCCACUGCUGCCUCCCGUAGGAGUCNGGGCCGUGUCUCAGUCCCAGUGUGGCUGCUCGUCCUCUCAGACCAGNUACUGAUCGUUGCCUUGGUGAGCUCUUACCUCACCAACUAGCUAAUCAGACGCGAGCUCCUCUAGAGGCGAUAAANCCUUUAANCUCUCGGCACAUCCGGUAUUAGCCACCGUUUCCAGUGGUUGUCCCCGUCCUCUAGGCAGAUUCUCACGCGUUACUCACCCGUCCGCCACUUAGCUCCGAAGAGCCCGUUCGACUUGCAUGUGU
rnacentral:rRNA from 1 species